UGUAUAUUUCUCAGCAUUUUC
rnacentral:piRNA from 1 species